GCCAGGCACAGUGGCAUAUGCCUGUAAUCCCAGUGGCUUGAGAGGCUGAGGCAGGAGGAUUACGAAUUCAAAGAAGCACUAAGAACUCUGGGAGAUCCUGUCUCUA
rnacentral:sRNA from 1 species